GAUAAUCCUAGAAACGCUCUCAAUAUUAAGUUGUUGUUAUAUUUCUUUGAAGUCGUGUCUGGAUUAAAAAUCAAUUUUAUGAAAAGUGAAAUCUUUCCGAUUCGUGCUGAUGAUACUACUAUGCAAAACUAUGCUGAAAUGUUUAACUGCCAGAUAGGUAAUUUUCCUAUCAAAUACCUAGGCAUGCCUGUGAGUUACGCUGGCUUGAAAUGCAGUAACUGGAUCUUUGUUGAUGACAAGUUCAUU
rnacentral:rRNA from 1 species